rnacentral:miRNA from 1 species
UGGUGCAAAAGUAAUUGCGGUUUUUGCCAUUAAAAGUAAAGCAGCCAAAACUGCAGUUACUUUUGCACCC